rnacentral:lncRNA from 1 species
AUUGCUUCCCUUCCCGUUGAGCAAGUACUUUAUACGGCUCAAAAUCUCUAAUGCCAUUGUAAUGCUAUUAAAAUGUCAGGGCCAAAGUAAGAUGGACAUGAGCAAUUUUGGGAACCUGGCCUUAAAUCUCUCCUAUCGAGUUCUCAACAGUUAAUCAUGCUGUUGAACCACGUACUUUAACAGUUUAUGAACAAAAAAACACGCAAAGAAACAGGACAGGGUCAGCUUAAUAUAUCAUCAUGCAUGAUAUUGAUAUAGCAGGGCAAUCAUAUUAUAGUCCUGGUAGUCUAAUAUGAAUAUGAUAAACUCUAAAUUAUAUACCCGUUAGAAGUUUAAAAAUAUCUGAUUAAGACAUUCAUACGUACCGAGACAACAAGAGCAGAAGUAGCAAGAGCAAAGCCAGCGAUCUUGCUAGCAUCUACACACUUUCGAGCCAAGUCUUUAAGGUCAGAUUGCAAAGAGCAGGAAAUCCUAGCACUAGCUGGUUCGAAGCCAAAAGCCUUGGAAACACUCUGAGAAGACCUGAGUUGAAGGCUGGUCCUAGAAGGCACACCCACCUUGGUGGGUUGCAUCAGUGUAGCUGCUGCUUGUAGUGAGGCAGCCAUUUAGUUCCGACUGCUGUCUGUCUGUCUAGCUUGGAACUGUGUAUUCAAAAGAAAAAA